rnacentral:rRNA from 1 species
UACGUAGGGGGCAAGCGUUGUCCGGAAUUACUGGGCGUAAAGGGCGCGUAGGCGGCCAUUUAAGUGGGGGGUGAAAAGCUGCGGCUUAACCGCAGUUCUGCCUUCCAAACUGGAUGGCUGGAGUGCAGGAGAGGGAAGCGGAAUUCCCGGUGGAGCGGUGAAAUGCGUAGAUAUCGGGAGGAACACCAGUGGCGAAGGCGGCUUCCUGGACUGUAACUGACGCUGAGGCGCGAAAGCUGGGGGAGCAAACAGG